GCCUGGGUGGCUCAGUCGGUUAAGCAUCUGACUUCGGCUCAGGUCGUACAUCUCAUAGCUCGUGAGUUCGAGCCACACGCCAGGCC
rnacentral:tRNA from 1 species